GUAAUCCAGAAAAAAAAAAACAGGAACCAUGCGAAAAAUGCAACCCCUCUCUGGCCUUCAGGUGUUGAAAUCCAUGUGUGGAAGGCAGGGCAGCCCAGCAGGAAGAUAGCAGGCAGGGGGACACUGGCCUGAGGGUGCCUCUGCUAAAGACUGGGCAGGGGAUGGGCCCCUCUUCAGCACGAAAGGAAAGCUUGCUGCUGAUUCCUGCUCAGGCUUCAACUCGGGAGAGAAGACAGACAGGAGACGGCAGACAACCUAUUCUUGGCUAACUUGGUUGAACUCCAAGGGUGUGCUGGCUAGAUUUAUGUCGACAUAAGUUUUGGGGAGAAGCGACCUCAGUUGAGGAAAUACUUCUGCCAGGUUGGCUUGCAGGGUGAUUCUUGAACAUCAAGAGCGCGUUAGACAACGAUGAGAUGAGAAUUUGGAGGUGAGCAGACACCAGAGCAGAAUGUUCAAUGUUAGAGCCGUUUAACAACAGCAGCAACAGCAAAAGAACACAACAGAACAAUGACCAGCAUCACACCCAGAGAAGUGUCCACAGAGAGUUUCAGACAUGCGCAGAAAUAUGAUUUGGAUAGACCGUGCUUGUGGCUGUGUGGUGGGUUAAUCUAUUUGAAGAAGGAAUGGAGAGAUAAGUAGAGGAACUGAAAUUCUAAGAUGUAAUAGGAAUAAGGACAGAGUUUUUCAGGGGUGGGGAGAGAUGGCUCAGCAGUUAAGAGCACUGGCUGCUCUUCUAGAGGACCCAGGUUCAAUUCCCAGCACCCACAUGCUCACUUACAGCUAUCUGUAACAGCACUUCCAGGGGGUCAUCCUAUACACCAUUAUGUAGACGUUCACCCAGGCAAAAACCCAGCACACGAAAUAAAAGUAAGUAAAAAAAGAA